rnacentral:misc_RNA from 1 species
AAGUCGUAACAAGGUUUCCGUAGGUGAACCUGCGGAAGGAUCAUUAACACGUAUCCAAACGUAAAAAACCCCCCCCGUGAACAUUCAAUCCUGCUCUUGUAACCCGCGUAGUUCGCAAUCUCUGGUAAAUCAUAGCCCGGAAAGUAGUUUUGAUUCAGAGACCUCUGGCUACGUGAGAACAUUGGAACAGUUACAAUCGAGCGGUAGUUUCAUAGGCAUUGUUUCCCCAAGAAGUCAGUGUCUGAAAGUGUCACUGAUUGUGCAAGGAUGGCGCUUCAACACAUGACAAAGGGUCCCCAUGCCCCCUUAUAACCCCACAGUUUAAUGUGAAGCUCAAUGUAAUACAUUGGGUCAAAAAACCGAACAACUGUUAACAAUGGAUAUCUUGGUUCUC